rnacentral:rRNA from 1 species
GACGAACGCUGGCGGCGUGCCUAAUACAUGCAAGUCGAACGCACAGUUUAUAUCGUAGCUUGCUACACCAUAGACUGUGAGUUGCGAACGGGUGAGUAACGCGUAGGUAACCUGCCUGGUAGCGGGGGAUAACUAUUGGAAACGAUAGCUAAUACCGCAUAAUAUUAAUUAUUGCAUGAUAAUUAAUUGAAAGGUGCAAUUGCACCACUACCAGAUGGACCUGCGUUGUAUUAGCUAGUAGGUGAGGUAACGGCUCACCUAGGCGACGAUACAUAGCCGACCUGAGAGGGUGAUCGGCCACACUGGGACUGAGACACGGCCCAGACUCCUACGGGAGGCAGCAGUAGGGAAUCUUCGGCAAUGGACGAAAGUCUGACCGAGCAACGCCGCGGGAGUGAAGAAGGGUGUCGGAUCGUAAAGCUCGGUUGUAAGAGAAGAACGGGUGUGAGAGUGGAAAGUUCACACUGUGACGGUAGCUUACCAGAAAGGGACGGCUAACUACGUG